rnacentral:rRNA from 1 species
AGCAGUAGCCACGGUAAUACGAGGGGGGCAAGCGUUGUUCGGAAUUAUUGGGCGUAAAGGGUGCGUAGGCGGUUUGACAAGUCAUCUGUGAAAUCUAUGGGCUCAACCCAUAGUCUGCAGGCGAAACUGUCGGGCUUGAGUAUGGGAGAGGUGAGUGGAAUUUCCGGUGUAGCGGUGAAAUGCGUAGAUAUCGGAAGGAACACCUGUGGCGAAAGCGGCUCGCUGGACCAUAACUGACGCUGAGGCACGAAAGCUAGGGGAGCAAACAGGAUUAGAUACCCCAGUAGUCCCUGUCUCUUAUAC